CGCCGAGGAACCGGAGCUCACGGCCGGGGCUUUCCAGCAGGAAACGGUUUCGUUAAAGCCAAGUACACAAAGGAACGUGAGAAAUAAAUGUUUUCCGUGUUGGACAGUAACUGUGGACGGCUGGCUCCACCUGCCGGCCGAACCAGAGAGUGACAGUACAGGUCAUGGGGACGGGGUGCUGGAGCCCAUCUCAGCGGUCAUCGGGCGGAAGGCAGG